rnacentral:rRNA from 1 species
CAAUAGCGUAUAUUAAAGUUGUUGCAGUUAGAACGCUCGUAGUCGGAUUUCGGGGCGGGCCGACCGGUCUGCCGAUGGGUACGCACUGGUCGGCGCGUCCUUCCUUCCGGAGACCGUGCCUACUCUUAACUGAGCGGGGGCGGGAGACGGAUCGUUUACUUUGAAAAAAUCAGAGUGUUUCAAGCAGGCAGCUCGCUCUUGCAUGGAUUAGCAUGGGAUAGUGAAAUAGGACUUUGGUGCUAUUUUGUUGGUUUCGAACACCGAAGUAAUGAUUAACAGGGACAGUCAGGGGCACUCGUAUUCCGCCGAGAGAGGUGAAAUUCUCAGACCAGCGGAAGACGAACUACUGCGAAAGCAUUUGCCAGGGAUGUUUUCACUGA